rnacentral:rRNA from 1 species
CCUACGGGAGGCAGCAGUCGGGAAUUUUGGGCAAUGGGCGAAAGCCUGACCCAGCAACGCCGCGUGAAGGAUGAAAUCCCUCGGGAUGUAAACUUCGCAAGAACGGGAAGAAUAAGCCGGUGUCAACACCACCGGCGAUGACGGUACUGUUUGUAAGCUCCGGCUAACUCCGUGCCAGCAGCCGCGGUAAUACGGGGGGAGCAAGCGUUGUUCGGAUUUACUGGGCGUAAAGGGCGCGUAGGCGGCCUCCGCAAGUCGACUGUGAAAUCUCCGGGCUUAACCCGGAACGGUCAGCCGAUACUGCGGGGCUAGAGUGCAGAAGGGGCAACUGGAAUUCUCGGUGUAGCGGUGAAAUGCGUAGAUAUCGAGAGGAACACCUGCGGCGAAGGCGGGUUGCUGGGCUGACACUGACGCUGAGGCGCGAAAGCUAGGGGAGCGAA